UAAAAGAUAAGCUAAAUAAAGCUAUUGGGUUCAUACCCCAAUUAUGAAUAAAAUUCUCUUUUUA
rnacentral:tRNA from 1 species